CUAAACAAAAAUGUAAAAACACUCAGAAAAAUUUGUUUUAGUAACCUGAUUAGCAUAAAACUAGGUCAUAGUGAAUGCACAGCCAGCACCUUUGAUUUGAAGUUGGACUGUUUAAUAUAAGAUCUCUUGCAUCUAAAUCACUUUUUAUUGUUAAUGAAAUUAUUACUGAUCGGGUGUUUAAUGUACUAUAUUUAACAGAAACAUGGAUUGAACCAAACAAGUAGCACUAAAUGAUGCCUGUCUGCAUGGAUAUAGUUAUGUACAUCAGCCACACCUAAUGGGCAGAUAUAUAAUGUGCCCCACAAAAAUCUAUGCAUAAAUUCAAAUAAUUCAAGUUUUUUUAUACAAACUAAACAUAUGUUGGCACCAAAAAAUAAGUCUACCAAGAUUUCACUAACUGUUAUUUACAGACACCAGGAUAAAUUCCUCUUUGGAAAUUAAGUCAGAAGACCCUUUGAGAGCAGCAGCAGUGUCCAUCCUAGAUGUAGUAGGUGUUAAUCAGAAUAUAAUAGGACCCACUCAUAACAAGAGUCUUGAUCUCAGCUUUAUCAAUAAUCUCCAAGAAUUACCAUCCAUGAUUGGAUCCCUGUCUGACCCCACAGAACUUCAUAAGGUGACUGAUUACUUAAGGUCAGUGUUUUCUCUAUACCCUAGAUAUUGUAGGUCCACUUCAAAGAAAAUAAUUCGAGAGAAAAAACUCACACCCUGGUAUAAUGACCACAUACGAACCUAAAAACUAGUAACUUAAAUUAUGUCAAACUAAACUGGUAGUAUUUUAAUUAGCAUAGAAGGAAAGCUUCAGUGUAAAUAAUAAUAAUCAUAAAUUUUAAUUUAGUACUGUAGUAAAAAUUAACUAGGAGUAAAACCACUCUAGAAAAUAACACUAUCAAUAUGCAGCAGCAAUGACUUCAUGAAUUAUUUCAGUGGCAAAAUAGAGAAUAUCCACCUGAAAAUUCAUACUAUUAAUUUAAAACUAAACAAUUUGGUAGCUGAUCCUGUAGAUAAUAAUUUUACUGUUUUUGCUCAAGAGGCUGAUUUAAUUUCAAUAAAUUCUUCUUCAAAAUUAACAACUUAUCAACUAGAUCUCUUACUUUGAUGUUUCUUUAAACAUAUAAUACAAUUAGCUACUGAACCCCUUCUAAAAAUAAUCAGUUCCUCCCUUAGCACUGGCUAUGUGCCUAAAUCUAUUAAACUAGUGCUUAUCAAAUCCCUGUUUUAAAAAACGUGAACUUGACCCCUUUCAGCUGUCCAUCUAUAGGCCAAUAUCAAACCACCCGUUUAUCUCCAAGAUUCGUGAAAAAGUACUAGCACAGCUAUUUUGCUUAUACCUACAGAGGUAGCAGCAAGUGCAAGCAAGUGUCUCCUUGCUGGUGUUGCUUGAUCUUAGUGCAGCUUUUGACACCACUGACCACAUUAUUCUACUUGAUAGGCUAGAACAUGUUGGUGUUAAGGGAACAGCCAUCUCUUGGCUCAGGUCUUAUUUGACUGAUCGUUAUCAGUGUGCAGAUGAAAAUGGUUCUCUUUGCAUACUAAGGUUAAGUUCGGUGUUCCACAAGGUUCUGUUUUAGGCCCACUGCUUUUCUCCUUAUUUACGCUACCUUUUGGUACAAUUAUUCAUAAACAUGGCAAUAGCUUCCACUGCUAUUCUGAUGACACAUAGUUAUAUGUUUCAGCAAAGCCAGAUGAGAUGCACAUUGUGUAAAGCACAUUAGACAGUUGAUGCUUUCCUCCUGCUUAAUUCUGACAAGAAAGGAAGGCUUGUACUAGGACCACAUGUAGCCAGAAGUAAGCUUUCUGAUUAUAGAGUGACUUUGGAUGGGCUUUCUGUGCAGCAGUAAAAGACCUUGGUGUGAUUAUUGACUCCUCUUUAAUUUGAAGAUCAUGUAGAUUAUGUUACUAGGGUAGUUAAACCUUCUGGCUCUCCCUUUUAGUUAUGCUGUCAUAGCUGGUCUUAUCAUAGACCAUCUGCCUGCAUAGCCUCUGCCUGCACUUUGCAUAAUGUAAUAAGGUACAUUGUCUUUUUACCAUUAUAUGAUCACAAGCAUACCUAAUACACUCUCUCUCUCUCUCUCUCUCUCACUACACACUAACCUCCUGAGCUCUCAGUGUUCUGAGUCCCCAGUGUGACUGCUUCUCCUCUCUGGAUCUGCCUGAUCCAUCCUGAUGCCCUACCUCAGGUUGGAGUCUCAUCACUUGGUGGUGCUCGCUGCUGCUGGGGAUGGCUCAGACCCAUGCUGUGGAUAAAACCAUGUGGGACUAUGGGACUGCCUUUGAACUGCUUUUGGUGCAGUCUGUUUUGCACUCAGGUCUGCAUCACUGAACAUUUGAAGGUUUUGGCAGGUCUCCCAGGCAGGAAAUCCAGGAUCCAGUUGCAGAGAGAGGUGUUCAGGCCCAGUAGGCUCAGCUUCUCAAUCAGCUGCUGAGGGAUGAUUGUGUCGAACGCUGAACUGAAAUCUAUGAACAGCAUUCGAACGUAGGAGUCCUUACAGUCCAGCUCCAAGCCCACUUUACAACACAAAGUCUUGCGGAUUAUUCUUGCUACUUCUAACCCACUCUACUGGAACCAUGAGGUCUCUGUCUGCCAUCUCCUACCAUUCUCCAAACUACCCUCCAACCUCUCCUGUAGCUCCCUCAUCCUCAAUUGAGCACCCUCACUGUGGGUGUUCAACAAACACAUAUUUUUGUGUAUGGUUGUAUUAUAUUUUCAAUAUAUCUUGGCAUGCUCUGUGCUGAUUUUGUGAUAUGUUUCAUUUAUGACCUCUUAUGACCAUGAUAUGAUGAAGACAAACAGGUCUGGCAGCAGCAAAUAUGAGAAAGAGUAAUAAUUUGCCUGUAUUCUGAAGGAUCUGAUUAGCUGAAUCUGUGGAUAAAACUUAUUUCAGACAGAAAGCCACACACAAGUAAAACAUACAAAGUUUAAAAAAUAAGACAUCAAUAUAAUACAAAUCAUACGACAACUGAAACAACUGAACAACCGAUCAGGCAUAACAUUAAGAGCACUGAGAGGUGAAGUGAAUAAGACUGAUGAUCUCCUCAUCAUGGCACCUGUUAGUGGGUGGGAUAUAUUAGGCAGCAAGUGAACAUUUUGUCCUCAAAGUUGAUGUUAGAAGCAGGAAAAAUGGACAAGAGUAAGGAUUUGAGCAAGUUUGACAAGGGCCAAAUUGUGAUGGCUAGACGACUGGAUCAGAGCAUCUCCAAAACUGCAGCUCUUGUGGGGUGUUCCCGGUCUGCAGUGGUCAGUAUCUAUCAAAAGUAGUCCAAGGAAGGAACAGUGGUGAACCGACAACUGGGUCAUGGGCAGCCAAGGCUCACUGAUGCACAUGGGGAGCAAAGACGAGCUACAGUUGCUUAAAUUGCUGAAGAAGUUAAUGCUGGCUCUGUUAGAAAGGGUUCAGAAUACACAGUGCAUCACAGUUUGUUGUGUAUGGGGCUGCAUAGCCACAGACCAGUCAGGGUUGCCCAUGCUGACCCCUGUGCACCGCCAACAAUGGGCAUGUGAGCAUCAGAACUGGACCACAGAGCAAUGGAAGAAGGUGGCCGGGUUUGAUAAAUCACGUGUUCUUUUACAUCAUGUGGAUGGCUGGGUGCAUGUGCGUCACUUACCUGGGGAACACAUGGCACCAGGAUUCACUAUGGGAAGAAGACGGAGGCAUUGUCAUGCUUUGGGCAAUGUUCUGCUGGGAAACCCUGGUGGAUGUUACUUUGACAAGUACCACCUACCUUAGCAUUGUUUCAGACCAUGUACACCCUUUCAUGGAAACUGUAUUCCCUGAUGGCUGUGGCCUCUUCCAUCAGGUUAAUGCAACUGUGCCACAAAGCAAAAAUGGUUCAGGAAAGGUUUGAUGAGCACAACAAGUUUAAGGUGUUGACUUAGCCUCCAAUUUCCCCAGAUAUCAAUCCAAUCGAGCAUCGCUGGGAUGAGCUGGACAAACAAAUAUAAUCCAUGGAGGCCCCACCUCACAACUUACAGGAUUUAAAGGAUCUGCUACUAAGAUCUUGGUGGCAGAUACCACAGCACACCUUAAGGAAUCUAGUGGAGUCCAUGCCUCGACUGGUCAGGGCUGUUUGGGCAGCAAAAGGGGGACCAACAUAAUGUUAUGCCUGAUCGGUGUAUACAAAUGCAGUGGAUGUUAUUGAUAGAUACACUAUAUUGCCAAAAGUAUUCGCUCACCUAUCCAAAUAAUCAGAAUCAGGUGUUCCAAUCACUUCCAUGGCCACAGGUGUAUAAAAUCAAGCACCUAGGCAUGCAGACUGUUUUUACAAACAUUUGUGAAAGAAUGGGUCGCUCUCAGGAGCUCAGUGAAUUCCAGCGUGGAACUGUGAUAGGAUGCCACCUGUGCAACAAAUCCAGUCGUGAAAUUUCCUCACUCCUAAAUAUUCCACAGUCAACUGUCAGCUGUAUUAUAAGAACGUGGAAGUGUUUGGGAACGACAGCAACUCAGCCACGAAGUGGUAGGCCACGUAAACUGACGGAGCGGGGUCAGCAGAUGCUGAGGCGCAUAGUGCGAAGAGGUCGCCAACUUUCUGCAGAGUCAAUCGCUACAGACCUCCAAACUUCAUGUGGCCUUCAGAUUAGCUCAAGAACAGUGCGCAGAGAGCUUCAUGGAAUGGGUUUCCAUGGCCGAGCAGCUGCAUCCAAGCCAUACAUCACCAAGU